rnacentral:rRNA from 1 species
UGAGUAACCUGCCCUUAGCUCUGGGAUAACCCCGGGGAAACCGGGGCUAAUACCGGAUACGAGUCCGAGUGGCAUCACGCGGACUGGAAAGUUUUUCGGCUAAGGAUGGGCUCGCGGCCUAUCAGCUUGUUGGUGGGGUAAUGGCCUACCAAGGCGACGACGGGUAGCCGGCCUGAGAGGGCGACCGGCCACACUGGGACUGAGACACGGCCCAGACUCCUACGGGAGGCA